AGUGAACGCUGGCGGUAGGCCUAACACAUGCAAGUCGAACGGCAGCACAGUAAGAGCUUGCUCUUACGGGUGGCGAGUGGCGGACGGGUGAGGAAUAAAUCGGAAUCUACUUUUUCGUGGGGGAUAACGUAGGGAAACUUACGCUAAUACCGCAUACGACCUACGGGUGAAAGCAGGGGAUCUUCGUACCUUGCGCGAUUGAAUGAGCCGAUGUCGGAUUAGCUAGUUGGCGGGGUAAAGGCCCACCAAGGCGACGAUCCGUAGCUGGUCUGAGAGGAUGAUCAGCCACACUGGAACUGAGACACGGUCCAGACUCCUACGGGAGGCAGCAGUGGGGAAUAUUGGACAAUGGGCGCAAGCCUGAUCCAGCCAUACCGCGUGGGUGAAGAAGGCCUUCGGGUUGUAAAGCCCUUUUGUUGGGAAAGAAAAGCAGCAGGUUAAUACCCCGCUGUCCUGACGGUACCCAAAGAAUAAGCACCGGCUAACUUCGUG
rnacentral:rRNA from 1 species